rnacentral:rRNA from 1 species
ACGCUCGACACCUACGGGAGGCAGCAGUGGGGAAUAUGCACAAUGGGGGAAACCCUGAUGCAGCGACGCCGCGUGAGCGAAGAAGUAUUUCGGUAUGUAAAGCUCUAUCAGCAGGAAAGAAGAAAGACGGUACCUGACUAAGAAGCCCCGGCUAACUACGUGCCAGAAGCCGCGGUAAUCUGAGCGGGCUGGCAAGGC